rnacentral:misc_RNA from 1 species
CCACACGCCCACGUAUACCUCACACCCCUCUCUCUUCUAUUCGAUCGCAUCUCCUACGCAGCCGUAGCUCCUUGGCUGUCCUCUGUAUAGAGCCUGGGGCAACAGAGAAGCGUUUAUUGCGCGCUUUCUCUGCUGUUAUUUGUUCUACGUCUCAUUCUUCUUCAUCGGCUUAUUCCUCCGCCUCCUCUCAGCCUGCACCGUGUGGCGCAGGUGAGUCAACUGCUCGCGCUAGCGUGGUAGAGCUUCCUUCUCUUACCCCCUCCCCCGCCUCGGGCACGGUACGAGCUGUCUUCAUUGCUCGCACGGCGUGGGAGUCUCAAGCUAGGAUUGGUGUCUCUGCGUCUCUCGUACUCUCGCGAGAAAAGGAAAGCCUAGCAUUGGUGAGGGUGCUCAGGGGAGGGGCUUACCGUUGCUGUUUCCGUGCUGGGGCUUCGACUCUUGAGGGGAGGAGUGUCAACCACGCCCGCUUCUCGUCCAUCGCGCGCUGUGGAUCUUGUGUUGGCCCCACCCAGUGACGCCUUUAUUGAGGUGGUUCAUUUUUCUUCCGCUGACGGCUUCUCACCCCCUCCUCCCUUUUUCAGAGGUCGCGGUCAACUCCGUCGCGCGUUGGCGACGGGUGGCCUGGGAGUGCGUGGUUUUGUGUGCUAGGAAUGCUCGGCUGUUCCUUCUUCCUUUUUUUCUCUCUGUCGGCGAUUGGCACCUCUAG